rnacentral:sRNA from 1 species
UUGCGUCAGCAACGGCCCGAAGGGCGAGGCAAAGCCGAGUCAUCCUGCACGACCUACCA